rnacentral:misc_RNA from 1 species
AGAGUGUUUCGUUAAGGCCUCAUUUUGCUGCAACGCUUCGCAGCAAAUUAUGGAGUGUGGGGUCCUUCCUAUAUAUCGUAGAGAUAAAAGGAGAAGCAGAAAUGAAAAGCAUCAAGAUGACGAGGAAUGCCAAUCACUUCUUCAAAUAUUGGAAGACAAAUCGAAGAGAAGAAGAAUAAAUAAUGAGGAGGAAGCUUCUUCUUCUUCUUCACUCGAUCUAAAUCUCUCUCUAUCUCUUCCUGCUUCCUCUUAACCAAACCCCACUCACUUUCACAACAGCUCUAUCAUCUGCCGCUCUAUUGUCAUUUGAGAGAG